UACGGGGGGGGCAAGCGUUGUCCGGAAUUAUUGGGCGUAAAGAGCUCGUAGGCGGUGUGUCGCGUCGGCCGUGAAAACCUGCAGCUUAACUGUGGGCUUGCGGUCGAUACGGGCAUCACUGGAGUUCGGCAGGGGAGACUGGAAUUCCUGGUGUAGCGGUGAAAUGCGCAGAUAUCAGGAAGAAUAUCCGUGGCGAAGGCGGCUCUCUGGGACGGUACUGACGCUGAGACGCGAAAGCGUGGGGAGCGAACAGG
rnacentral:rRNA from 1 species